rnacentral:tRNA from 1 species
GACAGCGUGUCCGAGUGGUUAAGGAAGUGGACUGGAGUCAUGAGUCCCUAAGGCUCAGCCUGCGCAGGGUCGAAUCCUGCCGCUAUCG